CCUACGGGAGGCAGCAGUAGGGAAUUUUGCGCAAUGGGCGAAAGCCUGACGCAGCAACGCCGCGUGAUUGAUUAAGCCCUUCGGGGUGUAAAGAUCUGUCAGUGGGGACGAAACUUGACGUUACCCACAGAGGAAGCACCGGCUAACUCCGUGCCAGCAGCCGCGGUAAUACGGAGGGUGCAAGCGUUGUCCGGAAUCAUUGGGUGUAAAGAGUGCGUAGGUGGGUUGGCAAGUGAGUAGCGUAACUCAAAGGCUCAACCUUGGAACUACUACUAAAACUGUUGGACUUGAGUGCAGGAGGGGCAACCGGAAUUCCUAGUGUAGCGGUGGAAUGCGUAGAUAUUAGGAGGAACACCAGUGGCGAAGGCGGGUUGCUAGACUGUAACUGACACUGAGGCACGAAAGCGUGGGGAGCAAACAGGAUUAGAUACCCUUGUAGUC
rnacentral:rRNA from 1 species